UUCCAGCACCCCGAGUGGUCGGGACGAUUAUUGGGCCUAAAGCAUCCGUAGCCGGCCUUACAAGUCCUCCGUUAAAUCCAGCUGCUUAACAGAUGGGCUGCGGAGGAUACUAUAAGACUAGGAGGCAGGAGAGGCAAGCGGUACUCAGUGGGUAGGGGUAAAAUCCGUUGAUCCAUUGAAGACCACCAGUGGCGAAGGCGGCUUGCCAGAAUGCGCUCGACGGUGAGGGAUGAAAGCUGGGGGAGCAAACCGG
rnacentral:rRNA from 1 species